AGGUCAAGCAAGAAAGAGCACAGGGUGAAUGCCUUGGCACUGGGAGCCGAUGAAAGACGUGGUAAGCUGCGAAAAGCUUCGGGGAGGCGCAAACAGCCAUCGAUCCGGAGAUUUCUGAAUGGGGAAACCUACUUGAGCAAACCUCAAGUAUCCGUACGUGAAUCCAUAGCGUGCGGAAGGGAACGUUGUGAACUGAAACAUCUAAGUAGCAAUAGGAGGAGAAAGAAACAUCGAUUUCCUGAGUAGCGGCGAGCGAAAGGGAAAGAGGCCAAACCGAAGGACCUGGUUCUUCGGGGUUGCGGACCGCAUAUGGCGAUGGAGGCUAUGGUAGUCGAACUGUUUUGGGAAAGCAGACCAGAGACGGUGAAAGUCCGGUAGACGAAACCAGAAGACCCGCCGCGGGAUCCAGAGUACCACGGGACACGAGAAACCCUGUGGGAAGCCGGGGGGACCACCCCCCAAGCCUAAAUACUCCCCAGUGACCGAUAGUGAAGCAGUACUGUGAAGGAAAGGUGAAAAGAACCCCGGGAGGGGAGUGAAAAAGAACCUGAAACCUUGUGCUUACAAACAGUCAGAGGACGCAAGUCUGAUGGCGUACUUUUUGUAGAACGGUCCGGCGAGUUACUAAUGCCAGCGAGGUUAAGCACUCAGAAGGUGCGGAGCCGAAGGGAAACCAAGUCUGAACAGGGCGUAAAGUUAGUAUUAGUAGACCCGAAACCGGGUGACCUAUCCAUGUCCAGGUUGAAGGAGCCGUAAAAGGCUUUGGAGGACCGAACACACAUCUGUUGAAAAAGGUGGUGAUGAGGUGUGGAUAGCGGAGAAAUUCCAAUC
rnacentral:rRNA from 1 species